AUUGAACGCUGGCGGCAGGCCUAACACAUGCAAGUCGAGCGAGCGGCGGACGGGUGCGUAAUGCCUAGGACUCUGCAUGUUAGUGAGGGAUAACGUCAGGAAACGGUAGCUAAUACCGCAUACAAUCGGCAGUGCCAAGAUGGGAUUAGCUAGUAGGUGGGGUAACGGCUCACCUAGGCGACGAUCCCUAGCGGGUCUGGGAGGAUGACCAGCCACACUGGAACUGAGACACGGUCCAGACGCCUACGGGAGGCAGCAGUGGGGAAUAUUGCACAAUGGGCGCAAGCCUGAUGCAGCCAUGCCGCGUGUAUGAAGAAGGCCUUCGGGUUGUAAAGUACUUUCAGCGGGGAGGCGUUACCCGCAGAAGAAGCACCGGCUAACUCCGUGCCAGCAGCCGCGGUAAUUC
rnacentral:rRNA from 1 species